GCUUUGAGUUUACACCAGUGGUUCUCAAACUUUUUGUAUUGGUGACCCCUUUCAAACAGCAAGCCUGAGUGCAACACCCCCCCAUAAUUUAAAAACACAUUUUUUUUAUAUGUAAC